CGCCGAGCUCGGCUGCGAGCGGCUCCACGCGCUUCUUGAGCGCGUCGCCCUGAUAGGUGAAGGCGAGUUUGGCGCCCGCGUUGGCGGC
rnacentral:tRNA from 1 species